rnacentral:rRNA from 1 species
UACGUAGGCAGCGAGCGUUGUUCGGAGUUACUGGGCGUAAAGGGUGUGUAGGCGGUUGCUUAAGUUUGGUGUGAAAUCUCCCGGCUUAACCGGGAGGGUGCGCCGAAUACUGAGUGACUUCGAGUGCGGGAGAGGAAAGUGGAAUUCCUGGUGUAGCGGUGAAAUGCGUAGAUAUGACUCGGAAGGCCAAAGGCGAAGGCAGGUUACUGGUACGCAACUGACGCUGAGGCACGAAAGCGUGGGGAGCAAACAGG